rnacentral:lncRNA from 1 species
GGCUCAAGGGCCAGUGUCAUGCUGACACUCCUGGCAGCAUCAGGACAGUGGUUGAAUAUUCCCAGCCUGCCACGCUGCCUACUAGGAGGGUGGUAUCUUAGGAGCAGCAGUUGUUUCUGGAUGAGCUACCAUACUUGAGAUGCCCUCUCCAUACCAUCUUCAAACUUACUCCUGUGGCCUAUGGGUGCAAAGUGGAAACAAUUAAACUUAACGUGGAGGCUGUGAACACGCACCGUGACAAGCCAACUUUCGCUUUCUCCAGAAGAGGAGCUGAGGUGGUCUUAUCCUCAGAUAGGACAUGAGAAAUUGGAAUUUGGCAAGCAAGGGCUUCAGCAUCCUUUAGUUUCUAAAGCAAGAUCCCUUCAGAGAAGUCUAGCAGGAAGAAGCCAGGAGAAUGUAGAAUGGAAAAGAGCUCUUACUCCAAAUUUUAGAGAAGUUUCAGCUCUACUUCUCAUCUUUUCUCUCCUGGUCUUACUUGAAUGCAUGUUGGUAAUCUGUAUACAUUACUAUGACUGUGUCUAUCACAAGUCCUACAAAAUAAAAAUGGACUUAAA